CGUUGGUGAACCAGCGGAGGGAUCAUUACCGAGUUCCAUCUCGACAACCCUUUGUGAACCAAAACUAUUGUUGCUUCGGCGGCGCGGAACGCCUCUCGCAGGCGCGCCGCGCCCGCCGGUAACCCCAGAAUCUCUGUUCGAACCCGACGUUACUUCUGAGUGUUCUAAGCGAACUGUUAAAACUUUCAACAACGGAUCUCUUGGCUCUAGCAUCGAUGAAGAACGCAGCGAAACGCGAUAAGUAGUGUGAAUUGCAGAAUUCAGUGAAUCAUCGAAUCUUUGAACGCACAUGGCGCCCCCCGGCAUCCCGGGGGGCAUGCCUGUCCGAGCGUCGUUUCAACCCUCGAGCCCUCCGUGGCCCGGCGUUGGGGAUCUCCGGCUCCGGCCGUAGGCCCCGAAAUACAGUGGCGGACCCGCGACGGCCCCUCCUUUGCGCAGUAGCACUAGCCUCGCAUCGGGAGCCCGCGGGCGCUCCGGCCUCUAAACCCCACUUUUAAAGCCCGUCUCCGGCGGCACC
rnacentral:misc_RNA from 1 species